UACUGGGGGGGCAAGCGUUGUUCGGAAUUACUGGGCGUAAAGGGCUCGUAGGUGGCCAACUAAGUCAGACGUGAAAUCCCUCGGCUUAACCGGGGAACUGCGUCUGAUACUGGAUGGCUUGAGUUUGGGAGAGGGAUGCGGAAUUCCAGGUGUAGCGGUGAAAUGCGUAGAUAUCUGGAGGAACACCGGUGGCGAAGGCGGCAUCCUGGACCAAUACUGACACUGAGGAGCGAAAGCCAGGGGAGCAAACGGG
rnacentral:rRNA from 1 species